UAUCCUUAUUUGCCAGCGCGUAUGGCGGGAACUCUAAGGAGACUGCCGGUGAUAAACCGGAGGAAGGUGGGGACGACGUCAAGUCAUCAUGGCCCUUACGGGAUGGGCUACACACGUGCUACAAUGGCAGGUACAGAGGGCAGCAAUACCGCGAGGUGGAGCGAAUCCCACAAAGCUUGUCGUCGUCCGGAUUGGAGUCUGCAACUCGACUCCAUGAAGUCGGAAUCGCUAGUAAUCGUAGAUCAGAAUGCUACGGUGAAUACGUUC
rnacentral:rRNA from 1 species